GGCGAGAUGGCCGAGCGGUCUAAGGCGCUGUGUUAAGGUGUUCCACUCCUCCUCAUCAUCUUGAGAUGGAAGUUGCUCAUCCGCAGUCUUCGGACGUGGGUUCGAAUCCCACUCUCGUCA